rnacentral:rRNA from 1 species
GACAGAGGUCCCGAGCGUUAGGCGGAAUCACUGGGCUUAAAGCGUGUGUAGGCGGCGGCCUAAGUACCUUGUGAAAUCCCACGGCUCACCCGUGGAACUGCUCGGUAUACUGGGUCGCUUGAGCCACUUAGGGGCUACCGGAACAAAUGGUGGAGCGGUGAAAUGCGUAGAUAUCAGGAGGAACACCGAUGGCGAAGGCAGGUCUCUGGGCAUUAACUGACGCUGAGGAGCGAAAGCAUGGGGAGCGAACAGG